UGAGUUGGUGAGGUAACGGCUCACCAAGACUACGAUGUCUAGGGGAUCUGAGAGGAUGACCCCCCACACUGGUACUGAGACACGGACCAGACUCCUACGGGAGGCAGCAGUAAGGAAUAUUGGUCAAUGGGCGCAAGCCUGAACCAGCCAUGCCGCGUGCAGGAAGACGGCCCUACGGGUUGUAAACUGCUUUUAUUCGGGAAUAAACCCUUCUACGUGUAGGAGGCUGAAUGUACCGAAGGAAUAAGGAUCGGCUAACUCCGUGCCAGCAGCCGCGGUAAUACGGAGGAUCCAAGCGUUAUCCGGAUUUAUUGGGUUUAAAGGGUGCGUAGGCGGCUUAUUAAGUCAGGGGUGAAAGACGGUGGCUCAACCAUCGCAGUGCCUUUGAUACUGAUGAGCUUGAAUACACUAGAGGUAGGCGGAAUGUGACAAGUAGCGGUGAAAUGCAUAGAUAUGUCACAGAACACCAAUUGCGAAGGCAGCUUACUAUGGUUGUAUUGACGCUGAGGCACGAAAGCGUGGGGAUCAAACAGGAUUAGAUACCCUGGUAGUCCACGCCCUAAACGAUGAAUACUCGAUGUUAGCGAUAUACAGUUAGCGUCUAAGCGAAAGCGUUAAGUAUUCCACCUGGGGAGUACGCCCGCAAGGGUGAAACUCAAAGGAAUUGACG
rnacentral:rRNA from 1 species